CCUGGCUUCAUGCUGGUGUGUGAUGACUGUGUUUCCUGGGGAUUUCCAACCUGAGCAGCAAGCAGCCCAGGCCCAAGGACAGAGGACACCCACCCUGAGGACAGAGAUGGCUGUAUUGCUUGCAUGACUUCUUCUGUCCCACAGUGGUAGACAAAGAGAGUCAAGAGACUGUGCUUGUGUGACCCUGGCUCCUGAAGUUCUUCUGCAGCAUCAUGAUGAUUUUCUUAUGACUGCCUCCCCCACCGGACAGCUGUCUGGGCUCUUCAAAGACACCCCUAACACCUCCACCUCGCAUGACCCCCGUUGCUAGCUGUUAAGUGAAUGCAUGAAUGUACAUGUGAAUGACCUCUGAACUUUGAUCCCAGGCCAGGGUCACCUUCAGGUACAGGGAGAGAAGACAGCUGCCUCUGUGGUGUGAUCUGGGGAACUCAGGAAGUUUCUUCACUCUGGUGCCACUUUCCUCGGGUCUUCCUUUUCUUUCCGUUUUAUUGAGAUAUACUUAAGACA